CCUACGGGGGGCAGCAGUAAGGAAUAUUGGACAAUGGUCGCAAGACUGAUCCAGCCAUGCCGCGUGAAGGAUGAAGGCCCUAUGGGUUGUAAACUUCUUUUGUACGGGAAAAAACCCCUCUACGUGUAGAGGGCUGAUUGUACCGUAAGAAUAAGGAUCGGCUAACUCCGUGCCAGCAGCCGCGGUAAUACGGAGGAUCCAAGCGUUAUCCGGAUUCAUUGGGUUUAAAGGGUGCGUAGGCGGAAUGAUAAGUCAGUGGUGAAAUCCCUUCGCUUAACGAAGGAACUGCCAUUGAUACUGUCAAUCUUGAGUACAUUUGAUGUGGGCGGAAUGUGUCAUGUAGCGGUGAAAUGCUUAGAUAUGACACAGAACACCGAUUGCGAAGGCAGCUCACAAAACUGUAACUGACGCUGAGGCACGAAAGCGUGGGUAUCAAACAGGAUUAGAUACCCGAGUAGUC
rnacentral:rRNA from 1 species